rfam:Echinostoma caproni strain Egypt genome assembly, scaffold: ECPE_scaffold0000056
GCACUGUUGACGAGUUCAAAAAAGGACGAAACAGCUGUCCAGUGC